rnacentral:lncRNA from 1 species
CCCCUUCCUUUUCAUGAAUGUGACCUACCGAAUUAGACUAUUUACCGGAUUUGUUAUCACAUAAGCAACACGACGGGUGCCACAUGUGGAGCAGGAUCUACUACAAAUCCUCCCGGAGCACCUGAGAUCACCCCUAGUUUUUGGUGGGGUUCGUGUUGUUUAUUCUUUAGUUUUCUAUGUUGUGUCAUGUGUACUAUUGUUUGUCUUUUUGUCUUUUUCAUUUUUAGCCAUGGCGUUGUCAGUUUAUUUUCGAUUUGUGAGUUUGACUGUCCCUUUGGUAUAUUUCGUCCCUCUUUUACAGUCAACCAUUUAUAUUUCUAAAAGUGUUGUGGAGAAUUUAGAAAACGUUUUCGAUU